rnacentral:sRNA from 1 species
UCGUCAACCUGUUGUGGGCAGAUAAAAUGAAUAUGGGCAUCAAUGCCGCCAGCGGUGAGUAUUUGGCCUUCUCCUGCGAUUACCUCGGUGCCAGGGCCAACGACAAUAUCGACGCCGGGUUGGGUAUCGGGAUUGCCUGCUUUGCCGAUGGCUUGAAUGCGUCCAUUCUUGAUCCCGACGUCGGCUUUGACGAUGCCCCAAUGAUCGAUAAUCAACGCAUUUGUAAUGACAAGAUCGACGGUAAAUUCAGACACCGAUUGCGCUUGUCCCAUGCCAUCGCGA